AAAGGAAAACCUCAUUGCUGCUGCCAAGCUUCUUCUAUAUAAGGCAAGGUGAGAUCCCUCUAAACCCAACCCCACGUGCUGCAAGUGCACAUAACUGCAGGCAUGAGCUGCAGGCUUCAGUGGAGGAACGUAUGUCCUGGGAUCAAAACGAUACACUAGAUGGAUCGAGCUUCUUAAGUGUCUCUCAGCCUCCAAUCACGCUCAGAGCUCCCCUUUGAACACUUUCCACGUUUCAGCAUUCAUGCUGAGAUGCGACCCCAGGACCGGACACAGGAUUCCAGCAAUGGGCCAACUGAUGCCACAUACCGAGGUAAACGCUACCUUUUUUGCUCCUACAGGUAUCCUCUGUCAUGAACUGCCACAAUUUUUCUGCAACUAUCUAGUUGGUCUAAUAAAAGACAUUGCCUCUC